rnacentral:rRNA from 1 species
UACGUAGGGAGCAAGCGUUGUCCGGAAUUAUUGGGCGUAAAGAGCUCGUAGGCGGUUUGUCGCGUCUGCUGUGAAAACUCGGGGCUUAACUCCGGGCCUGCAGUGGGUACGGGCAGACUAGAGUGCGGUAGGGGAGACUGGAAUUCCUGGUGUAGCGGUGAAAUGCGCAGAUAUCAGGAGGAACACCGGUGGCGAAGGCGGGUCUCUGGGCCGUAACUGACGCUGAGGAGCGAAAGCGUGGGGAGCGAACAGG